rnacentral:lncRNA from 1 species
CGGGGCUGAACCCGCCGCCCACCCCACCGCCUGCCGCCCGCCCCGACGGCUCCGAGUUCGUCCCGCCGCCUGCCGAGCCCAAGAAGCCCUUCAAGCCGCCGGUGUCCCCCAAGCCUGUGCUGACGCAGCCACCUCAGAAGAUGCCCGGGCCGCCAGUGCCCGUCCCCAAAAAGGUGCCCAUCCCAAGCCCCGGCAGCCCAGAGGUGAAGCGGGUCCAUGGCACGCCACCCCCGGUGUCCCCCAAGCCCACGCCGCCCCCCACGGCACCCAAGCCCCCCAAGCCCCAUGCUGCCAUCCAGUCAGUGAGCGCCAGCUCCACGCCGGCCCCAUCGCCAGCCCGGCAGCUGAGCCCUGCAGCCAAGCCCUCCAGCACGCCGCCCUCGCUCUGCUCCAGCCCCGCCAAGCCCCUGUCGCCCGGCGCGCAGCCCCAGCAGGUGCCGGUGAAGCCGCCCCGCUCCACCAUCGCCAGCCCAUCCGUGGACAGCGGCGGCCCCGAGCUGGCGCAGCAGAAGCUGGAGGAGACGAGCGCAUCCCUGGCCGCUGCGCUGCAGGCGGUGGAGGAGAAGAUCAAGCAGGAGGACAGUCAGGCGGCAGACUCAGCCGUGGAGUCGAAGAGCACCGUGAGCAUCCUGGACGACAUCGGCAGCAUGUUCGACGACCUGGCGGACCAGCUGGAUGCCAUGCUGGAGUGAGGGGCGCCAGGGCCCCGAGAACCUCAGGGCUUACGUGGGCACAAGGGCACAACGAUCCACGACCCCCCGGCCCCGCCGCCCUCCCCCGUCCCCUUUGUACAGCCGUCCCCUCCCGGACAUCCCGUCCCUUGGGGUUUGCACAAAGAAGAAGAUACCUCAGGAUUGUGCUCACGGACUCGGCGCCGGCUCCGGCAGGACUCCCUUUUGCAGAAGCAAAAAAAAUAACAAAAACAAAAACAAAACCCACAGAAAUAAAACCCAACAGAAGAAACAAAGCAACACAAAGCUCCGGACCAAGCUGCGGCCAGGGCUCCGGGGGGCUCCUGCCUGACCCUGCCAGCUGCGGCGCCGCGGGUCACCGCCGCCCGAAUGUAGCACAAGCCCUGCCCGGCGCGGUGGCUCCGCCAGCCGCGUGUCACUGAUGGCGUUUGCUGGUGGUGGGGCCGGGCGGGCAAAUGCACUUGGUUUUCUUUGCUCCGUUUUUAAUUUUGAUUUUUAAACUUUGUUUUCUUUCUCGGUCGGCGUUGGCGGGGGCGGGCAAGGCUGGCGGUGGCCCUGGGGGCAGCGGGACGUGCCCCUGCCCGGCCCCUCCCCGCCUGGGGACAGGACGGUGAUAAGCUAUAAAAAAAAAAGGUAUUAAUUUAUUGGAGGGGAAAAAAAAAAUAAAAAAAAGAUAUAAAGCA